UGCUUCCCUUUCUCUCUCUCACACACUAACACCCUCACUGUGUGUCUCCGAUCAAACCCCCAUAUUUCAACCAAAAACAAAUCAGUAAUUGUUUUCCCCUUUCAAUUCACCCACGAAAUGAAUUGGAUUUAAUGGUGUAUUUCUUAUAUACACACCAACGUCCAAAUCAACAGAGACCCCUACCUCCAUUUCAUCAAAUUAUUCACACAAAUCUCCAUCUGUUUAUGGGUUUUUGAGCUUUAGUGUUAGUAAAAGGGCUUGGUUGUGAAACGAUUCAAUUUGAUCGAUGGGGGCGAUGACGUCGUCCGUGGCGGCGAAGUUCGCGUUUUUUCCGCCGAAUCCGCCGUCGUACAGGGUGGUGAUGGAUGAAUCGGGUGGUGGUGGGAAGUGGAGGAUGACGGAUGUGUCUGAAAGGGAUAACGUCGAUGUUUUGAAGCUGAAGACAAAAAGGGGGACGGAGAUUGUGGCGGCGUAUGUGAAGAAUCCGGUGGCGUCGCUGACGGUGCUUUAUUCUCACGGCAACGCCGCUGAUCUGGGUCAGAUGUAUGAAUUGUUCUGUGAACUCAGCCUUCAUCUUCGAGUUAAUUUAAUGGGGUAUGACUACACCGGAUACGGGCAGUCUUCAGGCAAGCCAAGUGAGCAGAAUACGUAUGCCGAUAUAGAAGCUGCAUAUAGAUGUCUUGAACAGACUUAUGGUGUGAAAGAAGAAGACAUGAUCUUAUACGGUCAAUCUGUUGGUAGUGGACCGACCCUAGAUUUGGCAUCACGUUUAUCGAGAUUACGGGCCGUUGUGCUUCACAGCCCGAUUCUAUCUGGACUUAGAGUCAUGUAUCCUGUGAAACGAACGUAUUGGUUCGACAUAUACAAGAACAUUGACAAGAUACCGUCGGUCCGGUGUCCUGUUCUGGUUAUUCAUGGAACCGAUGAUGAUGUUGUAGACUAUUCUCACGGUAAGCAGCUUUGGGAGCUUUGUGUAGAAAAGUACGAACCCUUAUGGAUCAAAGGCGGCAAUCACUGCGAUCUAGAGCUGUACCCGGAGUACAUAAGGCACCUUAAGAAGUUCAUAUCGGCUGUCGAGAAAUCCGCGCGUUUGAAAAUAUUGUCGGGAUCGUUAACGGAUAACGAUACGAUACCCCGGAUUAGUAUAGAUUGUAGAGAGAAACCGAGGCCGAGCACAGACCUGCAGGACCACUCGAGGCCCAGUAGCGACUGCCAAGAGAAGCCGAGACCAAGCACGAGCACGGAUUAUAGAGAAAAAUCAAGAUCCAGUGUUGACAGACGAGAAAAGUCAAAGAAGAAUUUGGAACACGACGAGAAGUCAACAAACGCCUCUGACCAACCCGAGAAAGCAAGAAACAGCAUUGAUCGGUUUGGAGACAUGAUGAGAGCAGCGGUGUUGUGCAAUAUCAAUUGUUUCAGGCCGACAGGAGCAACGGGGGUCGAGGGAUUGUGAAACGUGAAGGCGACUCAAGUGAGAAUAUGGGUUUUCUCGAGUACUUGAUGUUCUUGAAAUCUUGGAAGGUUUAAGCGCGCCCGCUGGAUGCAAACAUGGAGGACAAAAGGUUAAAGAGAUUGAUCGUUGUUUGAAUGGAGGUACCAUUGUUUCGAAUGAUGCUAUAUUUGCAACUCGGAAUUGUGAAUGUAUAUGAACUUUUUUAUGGUUAAAUUAAAAUUCAAUGCGGAAUGUUUGACUAUUAAUCAAAUAUCGUUUUUAAUGAAAUUAAGAAAACUUGGGGGGUGUUUGGUUGAAGAUGUUAACCAGUAACUGAUUGAGUUGAAAAAU